GAGAGAAACCAUGGCCAGAAUAUGCUCUCGAUGGCAACAUGAUUGAGGAUCUGAAAGUCUUGUGGCGUAGUUCACAUUCAGCUCACUUACAAGCUGUGUGACGUGAAUAAGGAGCAAAGGGCUUCAGUGAAAUUCAAUAUUGUCAACGUGCUCUGGGAUGUGAAUUCCAUCCCUCCAGUCUGGGUGACACCUUCAUCUUCUCAACCAGCACUGAUAUUCCUGCCCAGGAACUUAAGAACUGCCCCUUGCUGUGGUCUGGGUCUCAAGGCUCUUUUCCUGGGAGCUUAAGACUUUUGACUUUUCCCUUGAAGGUGUCCACAUGCCUCCAUGCCUGGCUUACCUGCAGCCUGUCUAACCCCCAAGAGAUGCAUCUGAGACAGCGUCAUAACCUCUGCUUCCAAACCACCAUCGCUAAAGGCACAGUCCUGAGGGAAAUGAAUCAUCGCCUUGGAAAUUUGCAACCUAUGGGCUGAAUUCAGCUCACAGAAGUGUUUUUUCCACAGGGUGUUUUGCUUUGAUUUUUAAACUUGAAUUAGAUGCCUAUAUAAAAAAUCAGGAUAUUGAAUCUAAAAAUCCAAAUUUCUAAAUCUAAAAAUCCAAAUUUCUAACUUCUCCUGAAAAGUAGAUUGCUCCAGCAGUUCUGGCCUGUGUUUCUAUUGUAUGCUCCUACACUGUUCAACAAAAGUUCUGACAAUAAAAUUUGUUAUUUAAAAAGUUCUAUUUAUGAAUACAAGUAUUUGAGUGCUGUUACUUUUAUACAGCCUAAGUGAGGAGGAGUACAAAUUCCAUCUUCUAAUCACCACUGUUCCGUGA
rnacentral:lncRNA from 1 species